GACGAACGCUGGCGGCGUGCUUAACACAUGCAAGUCGAACGGAAAGGCCCUGCUUUUGGGGUGUGCUCGAGUGGCGAACGGGUGAGUAACGCGGGAGUAACCUGCUCUUGACUGUGGUAUAACUUCAGGAAACUGGGGCUAAUAGCGGAGAGGAGCUCCUGCGGCAGGGUGGGGGUUGGAAAGUUUGGGCGGUUGGGGAUGGACUCGCUGCUUAUCAGCUUGUUGGUGGGGUGGUGGCUUACCAAGGCUUGGGUGGGUAGCCCGCCUGAGAGGGUGACCGGCCAUAUUGGGAGAGAGACGCGGCCGAGACUCAUGCGGGAGGCCGCAGUGGGAAAUUGUGCAAAAUGCGCGGAAGCCAGACGCAGACACGCCGCGUGCGGGAUGACGGCCCUCGGGUUGUACACCGCUUUCGCCUGUGACGAAGCGUGAGUGACGGUAAUGGGUAAAGAAGCACCGGCUAACUACGUG
rnacentral:rRNA from 1 species